GCAGGUCACAGGGAGGUUCCUAGGUCCUCUGCCCUGAGCCUGUGCCCCUGAGAGGGCCCUGAGGGCAGAGGGCGCUUCCUGAGACACGGAUAGGCUCACUGGCUGGCGGUGGUGUCACUGUGUCGCCCGGCGACAGAUACAGGGUGUUUGCUCUGGAAUCUGCCAACGACUCCCAUCCAGAUCCCGGCUGAGGGCUGGGCCCUGUUAGGCCGGGUCCCCACAGCUUCUCCAGGCACCUGGCACACGGGGAAUGAGUGAGUGACUCGGCCAGGAUGAAAGCUGGAGCCUCUGCACGGUCCAAGCAGGGAGGCGAUGGCUCGCGUCACAGUCCAAGCAGCCAGGCGACGGUCCUGGCUGACGGGCUCUGGACACAACGAGAAGUUGGCGUCUACACCCGGAAGAGGGCCCUCAUCAGGCCCCAACACGCCGGCACCCUCAUCUCAGACCUGUGGCCUCCAAAACAGUGAGAAAUCAACCCUGCUGUUGAUCAGCCACGCGUCUAUGGCAGCCAAACAGACUCAGGCAGGGUCUGGGGCCUGGGGGGUCUUUGAAGAUGCAGUUAAGACAAGGCCGCACUGAAGUAGGGUGGACCCUAAAUCCGACGGCAGGUGCCUGAGAAGAAGAGGAGAGACAGAGACAGCAGAAUGACUCAGAGACGGAGGCAGAGACUGGGGCAGUGCACCUGCCAGGCCAGGAGGGCCAGAGGUUCCUGGCAACUCCAGAAGCAGGAGGGAGGCCGGGGGAGGGUCCUCCCUGGAGCUGCCAGAGGGAACCAGCCCUGCAGCGUCUUGAUUUUGGACAUUCGGCUCCAGAGAGAACAGAUUCUGUCACUCUAAGGCACCUGGUUUGUGGUACUUUGUUUAGGCAGCGGAGACCCCCAGCCCCAAAUAAACUCCCAGCACCCAAGU
rnacentral:lncRNA from 10 species